GAUGAAGAACGUAGCGAAAUGCGAUAAGUAGUGUGAAUUGCAGAAUUCAGUGAAUCAUCGAAUCUUUGAACGCACAUUGCGCCUUCUAGUAUUCUGGGAGGCAUGCCUGUUUGAGCGUCAUUUCAACCCCUCGGGCCCCCCAGCGGGCCCGGUGCUGGGGGACGGCCCCGCGCCGCCCCCGAAACGCAGUGGCGACCCCGCCGCAGCCUCCCCUGCGCAGUAAUGCACCUCGCACCGGAGCGCGGAGGCGGUCACGCCGUGAAACGAACCCCUUCUAGGAGUUGACCUCGGAUCAGGUAGGAGUACCCGCUGAACUUAAGCAUAUCAAUAAGCGGAGGA
rnacentral:misc_RNA from 1 species